UGGGUCGGUAACAGGUUUUGGUCACAGUUUAGACUCCUGUUUUAGGAUUAUUUCUCAUACCUUUGUUUACUAUAAAUUCAUAGUGGUUUUCCUUCUGACCCGUAACUCCAUCUUGGCAGGUUUAUGGAAUUGUUCCUUAUCGUUGGUUAUGCCUGUUCGCACGACAACGAUGUCUCUACUUGAUUACAGCUUAUUUUGCUACUAGUGAACCGGUUUCCUUCAAGCAAAAAUUUGAAGCUUGGGAAUUAAGGACCAACUGCUGCUUACGAUUUCUUGCGACCUGCUUCAAUGUGCCAUUGACAUUUUAGCUUGGUGUAACCGAUGACCUUGAUCUAAUUAUCCUGUAUUGCAAGACUUAUGUCCUGCGUGUUCCUCGGCUCAUUUAUGGUGUGCCUGCUCUUCUGCAUAUGGUUCUAGUUGCAGCUUCAUGUUGUUUGGCUUUGUUUGCUGGUGUGUAUGUAGGAUUUGCAGCAAGUCCGUGAUGACCAAAACUGAGAUGUCGAGAGUCCUGAUUUUUCCAGGUUGUUUUCUACAGCAUAUGAUGGUCUGGAUGAGGCUUUAUACUUAUUAACUAUGUUCUUCCUGGGAUCAUACAUUGCAAACGUGUUCGUAGAGCCUCCCAAAUGUCUCUGCUUCUCAAGAAAAGUUACAACUAGUUGCACCAGCUGUUCUGGUUGUAGGGAUCCCACAGGGGUUGGAGGAUCAAAAUCUCAUUUCCUGAUGUGAUGACAUGCUGUUACUGCCAAAUGGUAUACCAGAAAUUCCGCUGGAAUGUUGAGUUGAAUUUAUUCAUAUUGGGUGACGCUCCUUAGCAAUAGGUUCAACAACACCACUAAAUAGACAUGAAGACAAAGCUCUGUUAGAGUUGAAGUUAUGCGGAUUGUUAGGAAGCCGGUUUGGCCCUAAUGUCCGUGGUUGGAUUGAUAAAGAAAACAUUCCAGGAUUGCUGUCAUGGAUACAAGUACAUGGUCGAUGAAGAUUGUGUGUCAUAGGGUUUUUACAAACUCCAGUCGGUCUGAUGCGAAUGGUCAAAUAGAGUUUGGAUAAAAGCUUGGAGUUUUCUUGAAAUCUGUCAUUUUAAGUUCAAAAGACAGCUGAGGAUUUUGCUUCACUUCUUGUAAUGAAUUUACCUUAACAAUUGUAUGAUAUGGCUUGACUGAGUAACUGUAUUAAAGGUUAAUUUGUAAACAGUCUGAUAUAACAGAAUUCUAAUUUUGAAAUGUGAACUUUUCUUC